rnacentral:rRNA from 1 species
CAAUAGCGUAUAUUAAAGUUGUUGCAGUUAAAAAGCUCGUCGUUGGAUUUCUGGUUGAAGCGACCGGUCGGGCGUUGAUUCGUCUGCACUGGAGUCGGUUUUGGCCAUCCUCUAGGAAAGUGCGUCUGGUAUUAAGUUAUCGGGCGUAUGAUCCUGGUCUUUUACUGUGAAAAAAUUAGAGUGUUUAAAGCAGGCCUUCGCCUUGAAUACAUUAGCAUGGAAUAAUAAGAUAGGACUUUGGUCUAUUUUGUUGGUUUGCAGACCGAAGUAAUGAUUAAUAGGGAUAGUUGGGGGUAUUUAUAUUCCGAUGUCAGAGGUGAAAUUCUUAGAUUUUCGGAAGAUAAACUUAUGCGAAAGCAUUUACCAAGGAUGUUUNCAUUA